UACGAAGGGGGCUAGCGUUGUUCGGAAUUACUGGGCGUAAAGCGCACGUAGGCGGAUCGAUCAGUCAGGGGUGAAAUCCCAGGGCUCAACCCUGGAACUGCCUUUGAUACUGUCGAUCUGGAGUAUGGAAGAGGUGAGUGGAAUUCCGAGUGUAGAGGUGAAAUUCGUAGAUAUUCGGAGGAACACCAGUGGCGAAGGCGACUCACUGGUCCAUUACUGACGCUGAGGUGCGAAAGCGUGGGGAGCAAACAGG
rnacentral:rRNA from 1 species